UUUAUUAAUUAUGCAAAAUCAGAGAAUCCAAAACAUAGGUCAAACAACCCAAAUAGAAAACAAACACCUAACAAUUUCCAACCUCCUAGCCUAACCCGACAUCUCAACCCGCUACCCCUUAUUACAUAUAAAAUAAAGUGAGGGUUUUCUAUUCCCAUAUCUAUCCUAGCAUUUCUGCUUCCCCUCACACCUGAGAUAUAUUGUCACUGUACUUCAACACUGGACUCCUCCUUGUUCUGCUUUGGGCUAUUAAUUUUAUCCCCUUCUUUGCUCAAUUUGCUGAAAAAUUAACUUUCAAGAGUAAAUGCGCUAUAGUAUUUUGUUUUUGCUUUUUUCGCUUUCCUUCUCUAAUUUUUGCUUGCUUCAGAUCUGUGUUCUCCAAUGGGUGGAUGUGCUUUCUUUAGUUUGCAAAGGGAUCCCAUCUAUGGAUAAUGUUUCGUGUCAUUGGGUAAGCUUCAAUUCUCCAACCUUUUCCUUUGUUUGGUAAAUCUCUAAUAAAUAAUACAUGGCAGUUGGAGUAGAAGUUGAGUGCACGUAAAGCUCGACAACUCCACCCUAUAGUGAUAUGAGCAUUUUCUAGAUUUCCAAUUUCUAAUUUGAUCUUAGAUAUUUCCCAUUUUACGAAGUCCUUUUUGAUGGAUGAAGUAGUGUAAGCUAGAUAGCAAUUCACUUUUUCUGAAACCCUUGUGGUUAUGUAAAUAUUUGUCAAGUGAACAAACUUGUACUUUAGCAUACUCUGCCCUAUUAUCCCCUGAUAUGUGAUUCUAUUAAAUAUGAGAACUUUACUUAUUACUAUUGAUGAUUUUCUUUCCUGUUGUUUCCAUGUUCUGAAAAUGCAAAAAAGUAUAAUUACCUUUGUCUAUUUAUAGAUUUUCUAGGUAGUUUUCUAACUGAUUGCCUUCUCUUAUAAUAUACUGAAACUUUGUCUGUUUAUCUGCAAAAUUGAAACACCCUAAAUCUUAGCCCUUGCAAAAUUUCUUGAGUUUUGGACAUUCUGUCCAUGGUACGACUCAUGGGUGUAAGACCCCAUAUUUUUGGACUAGUCUUUGAACCAUCGUUACUACGUGUAUAAGUUAUAAUCCAAAUGAUUCCCAUGUGAAUAUAAGUUUCAUGAUCUUUAUCCUCAUGUUUGAUGUGAUUUCGAGGUAAGAUCAAUUGAUUCAUCCAAAAUUUGGUAUUUGAUUCUAUAAAGAUCUACUUUAAACGUGUAUAACUUUUUCUAUAGAUAGAAUUUUUCAGCUCAAGACCCACCAAAUUAUAGUUAAUUGAAUAAGCUUUCCAACGAUAUAAAUUAUUCCUAAAUCUAAUACCUGAGAGAAAAGUUACAACCAUUUUCAUGAGAGGCAGCAAGCCAAGGCAAUAUGCCCGCGCCGCUCGGCUUAUUGCACUAGGAUAGGCAAGGCGCUGUGGGAUCUACUCACUCAGGCUAAAGGAGGCGAUGCCUUGUCCAUUCCCCAGCUGUUUUAAACUCUUUAAGGGUCAAGGGGCACUUUGGUCCUUUCCCCUCAACCCCCAAAUGUCCAUGGGACGAUUUAAAGCAUCCAAUAGGGCUUUAUUUGCCCAUAUUCUUCAAGAUUUACUCUCAAGAAACCCUCAUACUUUUCCAUGAACAAGGUUCAAGCUUUUCCUCUCAAGAACACAAGGAUUCAGGCUUCAAAUUCACGAUUUCUUUAAUAAUCCAUCGAAUUAAGGUAUGUGGGUGUUAAUCCAUGAGUCCUCUUUCACCCAUGGGGACCAAAAUCCCUUUUCUUUCAAUUAAAGAAUGAAUCAUGUUAUUUUGUAAGUUCAAGAAAAGAUUGAUUUUCAUGAUGUUUUUAAUUCAAUUCAUCCCAUGUUUAAUUCCAUGCAAGAUUUUGAAUUCCUCAUGCCAUGAAUUUGAGUUUCCCCAUGCUAAUUCAAGUGAAUUCAAUGAUGGAUCCUAAGUUUAGGAUUUUUAGCAACAUUCCCAUGCUUUAAAUUCAUGCUUUCCACAUGUUUGGUGAGAUUCCCAUAUCAUGUUCAACUAGUUUCAAGAUGAAUCCCCACAGUAUAAAUUUUGCCAUGUAACUCUAUUGUUUCCUUAUGUUUAAGACAUCCUUAUGUUCAAGCUAUGAUACUUACAUGUUUUGAUGAAAUGCCCAUGUCUUAUUUCAUGCGAAUUUCAUGUAAAUUCCCCAAUUCAUGAUUUUAUUUAUUUAAUCAUUCUAUGCUUCCAUGUUUAAGAUAUUUCCAUGUUCAAGUUCAUGAUCUCCAUGUGUUUGAUGAAUUGUCACAUGUUAAAGUAUUAAUCUCCAUGUGUUUGAUGAAAUGCCCAAAUGAUGGAUUUCCUUAAAUAAUGCUUACUUAUCAUGGUUUUAAAUGUUUUCAUGUGUCCCUAUUGUUUUUGCUGCUGAGUUUUGGGGGUUAUUAAAUCCCAAAAUUUAGCUGUUUGCAUAGUUUUCAGUAUCUUCAGAAUGGUUUUAGAUAAACCAUGAGCCUUGUUAUUCAGUUAGUAUCAUAUUCAGUUAAAUUUAGUCUAGUUUUAGUUCCAGUAUCAAUUUACACAUUAAUAAUUACCUCAGAAGCUAUAUGCACUGUUAUUUUUAGAAUACCAUGACCUGAGCUUAUCAGUUAUUAGUUAUCAGUGCACACACCAGUUAGUAAUUCAGUGUCUUUCAGUUAGGAGUAGGAUUUAGGACUUGAGUGAACCCAGGGAUGGAAGCAUUCCUACCAGCAUAGGGUUUGAACCUUAGUAGCAAUCCUUGAGUUACAGAACUACAUAGCCAGCGAAGGUUUGAGAUGUCUUCCUACCAGUUUAGGGUUGACAUAUAUCUCAUGAGUUUCCUGCUAGUAUAGAGUUACUCCUUAGUCCAUCGAGACACCAGUUCAGUGGAUCCACACAGUCAGUUUUAGUACCCAUGGCACAGUACUGACACCCUUCCAACUGGGGUUACAGGUUGGACCCUGAUUAGCUCAGAUUGGGGCAUGUCGGUUAGAUGAGACCUCCCACAGUUUAAGUCAGUUAAUCAUUAUAAUUUAGUUUCAGGUUUGCUUGACCAUAGCGUACAGUUAUCAGUUAUUUAGUAUCUGUAUUUCAGUACUUCAGUUUACAAAUUAUUUCAGUAUCAUGUUAUAUGCUUGGUCUUGCAUUCUCAGAUUUUACAGUUUCAUGCAUUCAUGUUUAGUUAUCCCAUUAUUCAGUUAGUCCGUAUCUCGUAGGCACAGUACUCCACAGUUGUCAGUGCAGUUAUUCAGACUAAGUUAAGUUCAGUCUUACAUGACCAGUAUUCAGCUAUCUGUCAUUCAAUUAAUCAGAUAAGUUUAGUAUAUGUUACGUUUGGUUUUGUAUGUUCAUGCAUUCGUGCUCAGUAUGAUAGUAUAUUCAGAUCCUCGAGUUAUGUUAGUCUCCACCGUGUAGUUUUAGACCCAAUAUUCAUACAGUACCCACAUUUUACUAUUUUUCAGCUCCAGUUCUACAUAUAUUAUAGAAGUAAAGUUUUAAGAAACUAAGUGUAGUGAUUCACCAUCUUAUCUGAUUAUUCUUGUUAUGCAUGUUUUAAGAUACUUCAACUUUUAGUUUAUUUCAGUGUAUUGGUGAGUCUACUUAUACCUAGUCAUGCAUGUUUUAAGAUUAUGCAUGAAAUCAGUUUUACUUAUUGCAUUCACCCCUGUAUACUCAGUACAUCUAGAAGUACUGAUCCACAUAUAUGUCUAUGUGCUAUAUUGUCUAGUAAUGUGGGUACUAUUUAUAGCUUUUGUACCAUAAUCAGAUAGUUGCAGCUUCCAUCCAGCUGGUGAAGAGUUCUCCUAUUUCGGGAACUUCAGUCAGAUUUAAUUCAUGUACUAUGUUGUAUUUAUUCUUAUGUAUUGAUUAGUGGUAGUUGGAGGCAUGUCACAGCUACCUAAAGUCAGUAUAGCAUAGGGUUCAUAGAUGUCAGUCAGAGUCAGUCAUGUAAAUUUCAAUUUUCUCCUCAGUUUUAUUAGAUUAUAAAGUGUAUCAGUAAUAUAAUUUUUCUUAGAUUUUUUUAUGAUUAUAUUUCUGUACAAAAGAACAACUAUUUAUUUUAUUAUAAUUCAGUUGGUUAACAGUAUGCCAGUUCAUGGGUUAGCUUGGGAUCACUUGUGGUUCCAAGCACCGUAUGGCAUCUAGGGUGUACUCUCGGGGCAUUACAAACAUGGUAUCAGAGCACAGAGUUCAAGUAUCCUAGGGUGUCUAUGAAGCCGUGUCUAAUAGAGUCUUGGGGAAUGGUACAGAGACAUCUGUACUUUUCUUUGAGAGGCUACAGGGAAUUUACAAAAUAUUUCCCCUCUUUCAAGUCUCAGAUCGUGCAGUAGAAGUGUUAUCUAAGAAAAUUAUAACGAUUCUCAUAUUGCUCUAUUCAUGCCAACUCUGCCUUAGUUUUGAGGCAACAUAAACAUUUAAGCUCAAUUUCCAACAGAUAGAGUUUUCUCAGACAGUCCCCACAGACAGUUAUGGGAUUGUAUGCAGGCUCAAAAGUAUCCCAUCAGUGCCCGUAUCUUCUAAAGUUUGAAAAAUUCCAUUCAUGUUCAUAAAAAUUAUGCAUUGAGCCAAAGUCAAAUAUGCUCUCAGAUCCCUCCCUAGCAUCCUAUGAUAGCAUAUAAUAUAGAGUUAGAAUCAUGACCUAGAAGUUUAGCAGUAGUAGAGUUGGGAUAGUGUUAUUUAGAUUGAGCAAAUUAUGUAUUUAUGGGGCUAGUUAUACGAAAGGUGAAUCAGUUGGCUUGAAUAGUAUAUGAAAGAAUUUAAGUUUAUUGAUUUGAAAUUAAGUAUGAUGAUGCGUUUAUGAUCUAGAAGUGUACUUGAGUUAAUGGGAUUGCAUUAUUUCUAAGUUUUGAAGUAUGUGUCGAGAAAAGUGUAAGUAUGUAAUGAUGAUUGCAGAAGCUAGAGAAAGUUAAGGGUAGUCUAUCUAUGGGAGUUUAGUAUUAUGUGUAUCGUUAUAUCCCGGGCUCUUGAGUAAAGUGGUUGCAGUUCAGUUAGAGUUUAUUAAGUAGUCCACAGAGUUAGAAUGAUGGCUUAAGGCUAAGGGGGAGAUGAUACAACAAGUAACUAAGUCAGCUCCAUGAUCAUAGCUCAUAUUCAUGCAAUUUUCAUAUAAUCAUGUAUGCUUCCGGUUCCAAGUAUGAGGAGUUCCAGUUCACUCAAUAGUACGAAUCGUGUUCCAUGAAAUCAUGAACUCUAAGCUCAGGUCAUACAGCUCAUGACUCAUGUAUUCAUGCUUUAUAGUAUGUCCAGUUCCAGUACCCAUGCCAUACUUUUAAUGAUUAACAAAAUUCAGAUUUAUGUCAUGUAUGUCCUCAGUUCAGACCUCUCUGAAGAAUUCAUGUCAUUGAUUCUUUAUUCCUCAGGCCUCAGUUGAUUUUCAAAGUUAUUUUUCCAUGUUUCAAGUCCUUAUGCUCUAACCUUUCAGUGACCUCUCCUUAUGUCAUGAUUAGUUGAAAUUCUAUGAGUGUUUUGUUGGGCUAGUGCAUGAAAGUUUUAAGGAUAGAGGUUUAAAGUAUAUGAGAAAGAUGCUUUUGUGGUUGUUUUCCCCAAGUUCAUGUGUGGUUAUGAAGAUAGGCUUGAAUAUCAUGUUUGUGUACAAGUGGAGUGUAUAGUUGAGUAUAAGCUUUCAGUAUGAUUCAGUUCUUAUAGCUAGUAAUUUAGUUUAGCGGUUAGACAGACAAGUUCCUAUGGUUUUCCAUCUUUCCUAUUCAUGAGGUAAUUCACGACCAUCCAAAUUUUGAAUUUAACUCAGUUUAUGCAUAUGCAUCAGUUUCAAAUUCCAUAUAUUCAGUCAUGAUUCAAUCCGUAAGUGUCUCAUGCAUCGUCUCAGUCUUUCCUUAGUAUUUCAGCCAAGUUAGUAUCAUUCAGGGGACGAAGUAUCCCAAGGGGAAGAUGUAAUACCCCGACUAUUAGUAUCCUAAAUCUUUUAUCUUUUCUUCACGAAAUAAGAUCUAGCUUGAAGUAAUGGUUACUCAUAAGUUGACUCUGUCUUUUCUAUCUUAGCCUAAUGACCUUUCUCAUGUCAUUGCAUGUAUUUAUGAAAUCAGUUUAGUUUAUGUAUUAUGCUCAGAUUCAGUUAUGAAAUCAUAUUUUUAGUCAUGCAUGUACAAAAUAUGAUCUCAGUUACCUUCAUACAGUACUCUCAGUCUAACUAGUCUCAUUCAAGGAUAAAUGUUUCGAAGAGGGAGAGAAUGUAAGACCCCAUAUUUUCAGACUAGUUUUUAAACCGUCGUUCUUAUGUGUAUAAGUUAAAAUCCAAAGGAUUUCCAUGUGAAUAUAAUUUUCAUGAUCUUUAUUCUUGUGUUUGAUAUGAUUUCGAGGUGAAAAAUGUUCAUAGCAAUGAAUUAGAACAAAGUUGAGCUAAGAUCAUUUGAUUCAUCCAAAAUUUGAUAUUUGAUUCUACAAGGAUCUACUUUAAACAUGUAUAACUUUUGAUAUACGUUGAAUUUUUUAGCUCAGGACCCACCAAAUUAUAGAUAAUUGAAUCAUCUUUUCAAUAAUAUCAAUUUUGCCUAAAUCCAAUCCCCGAGCGAAAAGUUACAACCAUUUUCGUGUGAGGCUAUAAGCCGAGGCGAUAUGCCCGCACCGCCCGAGUUAUUGCAUCGGGAUAGGAGAGGCGCCGUGGGCUCUACUUCCCCAAGAUAAAGGGGGUGGCGCCUUGUCCAUUCCUCAACUGUUUUAAACUCCUUAAGGGUCAAGGGGCACUUUGGUCAUUUCCCCUCAACCCCAAACAUCCAAGGGACGAUUUAAAUCAUUUAAUAGGGCAUUAUUUGCCCAUAUUCUUUAAGAUUUUCUCUCAAGAAACCCUCAUACUUUCCCAUGAGCAAGGUUCAAGCUUUUUCUCUCAAGAACACAAGGAUUCAAGCUUCAAAUUCAUGAUUUCUUUAAUAAUCCAUCGAAUUAAGGUAUGUAGAAGCUCAUUCAUGGGUCCUCUUUCACCCAUGGAGUCCAAAACCCUUUUUCUUUCAAUUAUAAAAUGAAUCAUGUUAUUUUGUAUAUUCAAGGAAAGAUUGAAUUUCAUGUUUUCAUGAUGUUUUUAAUUCAAUUCAGCUCAUGUGUGAUUCCAUGCAAGAUUUUGAAUUCCUCAUGCCAUGAAUUUGAGUUUCCCCAUGAUAAUUCAAGUGAAUUCAAUGAUGGAUCCUAAGUUUAUGAUUUUUAGCAACAUUCCCAUGUUUUAAAUUUGUGCUUUCCACAUGUUUGUUGAAAUUCCCAUAUCAUGUUCAACGAGUUUCAAGAUGAAUUCUCAAGAUAUAAAUUUUUCCAUGUAACUCUAUAGUUCCCUCGUGUUUAAGACAUCCUUAUGUUUAAGCUAUGAUGCUUACAUGUUUUGAUGAAACGCCCAUGUCUUAUUUCUAGAGAAUUUCAUGUAAAAUCCCCAAUUCAUGAUUUUAGUUAUGUAAUCAUGCUACGCACCCAUGUUUAAGAUAUUUUCAUGUUCAAGUUCAUGAUCCUCAUGUGUUUGAUGACUUGCCCCAUGUUAAAGUAUUAAUCUCCAUGGGUUUGAUGAAAUGCUCAAGUGAUGGGUUUCUUUGAAUAAUGCUUACUUAUCAUGGUUUUAAAUGUUUUCAUGUUUCCUUAUUGUUAUUGCCGCUUAGUCCUGGGGGUUAUAAAUACCUAAAAUUUAGCUGUUUAUAUAGUUUUCUGUAUAUUCAGAAUGGUUUUAGAUAAACCAUGAGCCUUAUCAUUCAGUUAGUAUCAUAUUCAGUUAACUCAGUCUAGUUUCAAUUCCAAUAUCAAUUUACUCAUUAAUAAUUACCUUAGAGUCCAUAUGCACUAUUAUUUUUAGAAUACCAUGACCUGAGCUUAUCAGUUAUUAGUAAUCAGUGCACACACCAGUUAGUAAUUCAGUGUCUUUCAGUUGGGAGUAGGAUUUACCACCGGGCAAACCCAGGGAUGGGGGAAUUCCUGCCAGCAUAGGGUCUGGCCCUUAGUACUAAUCUCUGAGUUACAAAACUACAUCGCCAGCAUAAGUUUGAGAUGUCUUCCUACUAGUUUAGGAUUGACAAGUAUCACAUGAGUUUUCUGCCAGUAUAGGGUUACUCCUUAUUCCUUUAGGAUACCAGUUCAGUGGAUCCACACAACUAGUAGUACCCGUGGUACCACACUGAAACCCUUCCAACUAGUUAUAGGUUGUACCUUGAUUAGCUCAGAUUGGGGCAUAUCAGUUAGAUGUGACCUCCCAUAAUUUCAGUCAGUUAAUCAGUAUAAUUCAAUUUUAGGUUUGCUUGACCAUAGCAUACAUUUAUAAGUUAUUUAGUAUCAGUAUUUCAGUACUUCAGUUUACAGAUUAUUUUAGUAUCAUAUUAUAUGCUUGGUCUUGCAUUCUCAAAAUUUACAAUUUUAUGCAUUCAUGUCCAGUUAUCCCAUGUUAUUCAGUUACUCCUUAUCUUAUAGGCACAGUACUCCACAGUUGUUAGUGCAGUUAUUCAAACUAAGUUAAGUUCAGUCCUACAUGACCAGUAUUCAGCUAUCAGUCACUCAAUUAAUCAGAUAAGUUUAGUAUAUGUUACGUUUGAUUUUGUAUGAUUAUGAUUCAUGCACAGUAUGAUGGUAUAUUCAGAUCCUCGAGUUAUGUCAAUCUCCACUGCAUAGUUUCAGACCCAGUAUUCAUGCAGUACCCAUGUUUUACUGUUUUCAGCUCUAGUUUUACUUAUAUUACAGAAGUAAAGUUUUAAGAAAGUAAGUGUAGUGAUUCACCAUCUUAUCUGAUUAUGUUUGUUAGGCAUGUUUUAAGAUACUUCAGCUUUCAGUUUAUUUUAGUCUCUUGGUGAAUCUACUUACACCUAGUCAUGCAUGUUUUAAGAUUAUGUAUGAAAUCAGUUUUCCUUAUCGCAUUCACCCUUGCACACUCAGUACAUUCCAGAAGUACUGAUCUAUAUAUAUGUCUAUGUUCUACAUUGUCUUAUAAUGUAGGUACCAGUUAUAGCUUUCGCAUCAUUAUCAGACAGUUGCAGCUUCCAGCC
rnacentral:lncRNA from 1 species